rnacentral:rRNA from 1 species
GAUGAACGCUAGCGGCAGGCUUAAUACAUGCAAGUCGAGGGGUAGCAAGAUUGUAGCAAUACAAUUGUUGACGACCGGCAAACGGGUGCGGAACACGUACACAACCUUCCUACAAGUGGGGAAUAGCCCAGAGAAAUUUGGAUUAAUACCCCGUAACAUAGCGAUGUGGCAUCACAUUGCUAUUAUAGCUUCGGCGCUUGUUGAUGGGUGUGCGUAUGAUUAGAUAGUUGGCGAGGUAACGGCUCACCAAGUCUACGAUCAUUAGCUGAUGUGAGAGCAUGAUCAGCCACACGGGCACUGAGACACGGGCCCGACUCCUACGGGAGGCAGCAGUAAGGAAUAUUGGUCAAUGGACGCAAGUCUGAACCAGCCAUGCCGCGUGAAGGAUUAAAGUCCCCUGGAUUGUAAACUUCUUUUAUAUGGGACGAAAAAAGGUCUUUCUAGACCCCUUGACGGUACCAUAUGAAUAAGCACCGGCUAACUCCGUGCCAGCCGCCGCAGUAAAAC